rnacentral:rRNA from 1 species
CUACGGGCUGCACCAGUAGGGAAUAUUGGACAGUGGGCGAAAGCCUGAUCCAGCAACACCGCGUGCACGAUGACGGCCUUCGGGUUGUAAAGUGCUUUUAGAGGAGAUGAGAAAGGACAGUAUCCUCUGAAUAAGCCUCGGCGAACUACGUGCCAGCAGCCGCGGUAAAACGUAGGAGGCAAGCGUUAUCCGGAUUUAUUGGGCGUAAAGCGCGUGCAGGCGGUCUAGCAAGUUGGAUGUGAAAGCUCCCGGCUCAACUGGGAGAGGUCGUUCAAUACUGUUAGACUAGAGAAUAGGAGAGGGAGGUGGAAUUCCGGGUGUAGUGGUGAAAUGCGUAGAUAUCCGGAGGAACACCAGUGGCGAAAGCGGCCUCCUGGACUAUUUCUGACGCUAAGACGCGAAAGCUAGGGUAGCAAACGGGAUUAGAUACCCUUGUAGUC